rnacentral:ncRNA from 29 species
GCUUCUGGACGAAGGGGAUGCAACAAUGCCACCCGUAAGGUGAUGACGAUGUAGGAAGCCGGUGUGAAUCCGGCGCGGUCCCGCCACUGUCAUCGGGGAGCGACCCUCAACGGCCACGGCUGGGAAGUCGGAAGGCGAGGCGAGCAGCGAUCCGAGAGCCAGGACACUUGCGUCAUUGCGUCCUGCGACC